rnacentral:lncRNA from 1 species
CAAUCCGUACAGGUAUCGGGAUUCAAAGACUAAGGUUCCUCUGUGCAGCCUCCAAUGCUACAAGGCGGUUCAGCAGCAGCAGCAGCAGCAGACCUCUGAACCAGCAACCGACCCCACCCCACCACCGGAGCAGACCCCUGAACCAGCAACCGACCCCACCCCACCACCGGAGCAGACCUCUGAACCAGCAACCGACCCCACCCCACCACCGGAGUAGACCUCUGAACCGGCAACCGACCCCACCCCACCACCGGUUUAGAUAGUGAUUGUUUUUUUUCUGGAUAUAAAAGGACAAGAACUUAGAGC